ACGGGAGGCAGCAGUGGGGAAUAUUGGGCAAUGGGCGAAAGCCUGACCCAGCAACGCCGCGUGAAGGAAGAAGGUCUUCGGAUUGUAAACUUCUUUUAUGAGGGACGAAGGACGUGACGGUACCUCAUGAAUAAGCCACGGCUAACUACGUGCCAGCAGCCGCGGUAAUACGUAUGGAGCAAGCGUUAUCCGGAUUUACUGGGUGUAAAGGGAGCGUAGACGGCAAAGCAAGUCUGAAGUGAAAUCCCGGGGCUCAACCCCGGAACUGCUUUGGAAACUGUUUAGCUAGAGUGCAGGAGAGGUAAGCGGAAUUCCUAGUGUAGCGGUGAAAUGCGUAGAUAUUAGGAGGAACACCAGUGGCGAAGGCGGCUUACUGGACUGUAACUGACGUUGAGGCUCGAAAGCGUGGGGAGCAAACAGGAUUAGAUACCCUGGUA
rnacentral:rRNA from 1 species